GACGAACGCUGGCGGCGUGCCUAAUACAUGCAAGUCGAACGCAGUGGGGACGGGUGAGUAACACGUGGGUAACCUCCCAUCAGAGGGGAUAACACUUGGAAACAGGUGCUAAACCGAUACUGAUGGAUGGACCCGCGGUGCAUUAGCUAGUUGGUGAGGUAACGGCUCACCAAGGCCACGAUGCAUAGCCGACCUGAGAGGGUGAUAAUCCCCCCUGGGACUGAGACACGGCCCAGACUCCUCCUAAAAUCAUCACUAUAAAAUCUUCCGCAAUGAACGAAAGUCUGACCGAGCAACGCCGCGUGAGUGAAGAAUUUUUUCGGAUCCUAACACUCUGUUGUUAGAGAAGCGGUAUCUAACCAGAAAGCCACGGCUAACUACGUGCCAGCAGCCGCGGUAAUUC
rnacentral:rRNA from 1 species